AGUCGAGCGGACAGAAGGGAGCUUGCUCCCGGAUGUUAGCGGCGGACGGGUGAGUAACACGUGGGUAACCUGCCUGUAAGACUGGGAUAACUCCGGGAAACCGGAGCUAAUACCGGAUAGUUCCUUGAACCGCAUGGUUCAAGGAUGAAAGACGGUUUCGGCUGUCACUUACAGAUGGACCCGCGGCGCAUUAGCUAGUUGGUGAGGUAACGGCUCACCAAGGCGACGAUGCGUAGCCGACCUGAGAGGGUGAUCGGCCACACUGGGACUGAGACACGGCCCAGACUCCUACGGGAGGCAGCAGUAGGGAAUCUUCCGCAAUGGACGAAAGUCUGACGGAGCAACGCCGCGUGAGUGAUGAAGGUUUUCGGAUCGUAAAGCUCUGUUGUUAGGGAAGAACAAGUGCAAGAGUAACUGCUUGCACCUUGACGGUACCUAACCAGAAAGCCACGGCUAACUACGUGCCAGCAGCCGCGGUAAUACGUAGGUGGCAAGCGUUGUCCGGAAUUAUUGGGCGUAAAGGGCUCGCAGGCGGUUUCUUAAGUCUGAUGUGAAAGCCCCCGGCUCAACCGGGGAGGGUCAUUGGAAACUGGGAAACUUGAGUGCAGAAGAGGAGAGUGGAAUUCCACGUGUAGCGGUGAAAUGCGUAGAGAUGUGGAGGAACAC
rnacentral:rRNA from 1 species